AGAGUUUGAUCCUGGCUCAGGACGAACGCUGGCGGCGUGCCUAACACAUGCAAGUCGAACGGAACUGUUUUGAAAGAUUUCUUCGGAAUGAAUUUGAUUUAGUUUAGUGGCGGACGGGUGAGUAACGCGUGAGUAACCUGCCUUCAAGAGGGGGAUAACAUUCUGAAAAGAAUGCUAAUACCGCAUGACAUAUCGGAACCACAUGGUUCUGAUAUCAAAGAUUUUAUCGCUUGAAGAUGGACUCGCGUCCGAUUAGUUAGUUGGUGAGGUAACGGCUCACCAAGACCGCGAUCGGUAGCCGGACUGAGAGGUUGAACGGCCACAUUGGGACUGAGACACGGCCCAGACUCCUACGGGAGGCAGCAGUGGGGGAUAUUGCGCAAUGGGGGCAACCCUGACGCAGCAACGCCGCGUGAAGGAUGAAGGUUUUCGGAUUGUAAACUUCUUUUAUUAAGGACGAAAAAUGACGGUACUUAAUGAAUAAGCUCCGGCUAACUACGUGCCAGCAGCCGCGGUAAUACGUAGGGAGCAAGCGUUGUCCGGAUUUACUGGGUGUAAAGGGUGCGUAGGCGGCUUUGCAAGUCAGAUGUGAAAUCUAUGGGCUCAACCCAUAAACUGCAUUUGAAACUGUAGAGCUUGAGUGAAGUAGAGGCAGGCGGAAUUCCCCGUGUAGCGGUGAAAUGCGUAGAGAUGGGGAGGAACACCAGUGGCGAAGGCGGCCUGCUGGGCUUUAACUGACGCUGAGGCACGAAAGCGUGGGUAGCAAACAGGAUUAGAUACCCUGGUAGUCCACGCUGUAAACGAUGAUUACUAGGUGUGGGGGGUCUGACCCCUUCCGUGCCGGAGUUAACACAAUAAGUAAUCCACCUGGGGAGUAC
rnacentral:rRNA from 1 species